UCGCAAUGCCCGAAAGGGUGACGAAGCGACGCCGCGUGAGUGAGGAAGGCCUUCGGGUUGUAAAGCUCUGUCAGGAGUUAAGAAAUGUAAGUGUGCUAAUACCACAUUUAUUUGACGAAGGCUCCAAAGGAAGCCACGGCUAACUCUGUGCCAGCAGCCGCGGUAAUACAGAGGUGGCAAGCGUUGUUCGGAAUUAUUGGGCGUAAAGAGCACGUAGGUGGGUUUGUAAGUCAGAUGUGAAAGCCUUCUGUUCAACGGAAGAAUUGCAUCUGAAACUGCGAGUCUUGAGUGUAGGAGGGGAGAAUGGAACUUCUGGUGGAGCGGUGAAAUGCGUAGAUAUCAGAAGGAACGCCGGCGGCGAAAGCGAUUCUCUGGCCUAUUACUGACGCUCAGUGUGCGAAAGCUAGGGGAGCAAACGGGAUUAGAUACCCCGGUAGUCCUAGCCGUAAACGAUGGGCACUAAGUAGAGGGAAUUACCGAUGUUCUCUCUGCCGUAGCUAACGCAUUAAGUGCCCCGCCUGGGGAGUACGGCCGCAAGGCUAAAACUCAAAAGAAUUGACGGGGGCUCGCACAAGCGGUGGAGCAUGUGGCUUAAUUCGAUGCAACGCGAAGAACCUUACCGGGGCUUGACAUGGUAGAAGUAGGAACCCGAAAGGGUAACGAACGGUAUCCAGUCCGUAACUAUCACAGGUGUUGCAUGGCUGUCGUCAGCUCGUGUCGUGAGACGUUGGGUUAAGUCCCCUAACGAGCGAAACCCUUGUUUUUAGUUACCAGCGGGUUGUGCCGGGUACUCUAGAAAGACUGC
rnacentral:rRNA from 1 species